AGGGGCAAAAACGGCUCAAAAUCGGCAUAUCCAUGCGCUUUUCAGGCUCUCUACAUUGCCUCCAAAACCGCGUGCCGAGGGUUCAAGUCCUUCUGCCCCUGCCA
rnacentral:tRNA from 1 species